rnacentral:rRNA from 1 species
AUUGAACGCUGGCGGCAUGCCUUACACAUGCAAGUCGAACGGUAACGGGCCUUCGGGUGCCGACGAGUGGCGAACGGGUGAGUAAUACAUCGGAACGUGCCCGAUCGUGGGGGAUAACGAGGCGAAAGCUUUGCUAAUACCGCAUACGAUCUACGGAUGAAAGCAGGGGACCGCAAGGCCUUGCGCGGACGGAGCGGCCGAUGGCAGAGUAGGUAGUUGGUGGGAUAAAAGCUUACCAAGCCGACGAUCUGUAGCUGGUCUGAGAGGAUGAUCAGCCACACUGGGACUGAGACACGGCCCAGACUCCUACGGGAGGCAGCAGUGGGGAAUUGUGGACAAUGGGCGCAAGCCUGAUCCAGCCAUGCCGCGUGCAGGAUGAAGGCCUUCGGGUUGUAAACUGCUUUUGUACGGAACGAAAAGCCUUCUUUUAAUACAGGAGGGUCAUGACGGUACCGUAAGAAUAAGCACCGGCUAACUACGUG